GACGAACGCUGGCGGCGUGCUUAACACAUGCAAGUCGAACGGAAAGGCCCUGCUUUUGUGGGGUGCUCGAGUGGCGAACGGGUGAGUAACACGUGAGUAACCUGCCCUUGACUUUGGGAUAACUUCAGGAAACUGGGGCUAAUACCUGAUAGGAGCUCCUGCUGCAUGGUGGGGGUUGGAAAGUUUCGGCGGUUGGGGAUGGACUCGCGGCUUAUCAGCUUGUUGGUGGGGUAGUGGCUUACCAAGGCUUUGACGGGUAGCCGGCCUGAGAGGGGGACCGGCGACAUUGGGACUGAGAUACGGCCCAGACUCCUACGGGAGGCAGCAGGGGGGAAUAUUGCACAAUGGGGGGAAGCCUGAUGCAGCAACGCCGCGUGCGGGAUGACGGCCUUCGGGUUGUAAACCGCUUUCGCCUGUGACGAAGCGUGAGUGACGGUAAUGGGUAAAGAAGCACCGGCUAACUACGUG
rnacentral:rRNA from 1 species